GUCACUUUGCCGGAGAGGUUAACGGGAUCGCCUGCUAGUCUUAGUAUCCCUUCAAAGGUCGUAUGCUGUUAUGAAGUCAAGAGCGGUUGGGCUUUGCCCGCGUGUGUUCGAAUCGCACAGGUGACG